rnacentral:ncRNA from 1 species
GUGCUAAUCCUCCUGAGAGAAGGUUAGCAUUCUCUUUGAUAAGGAUGGAAGAGGUCCUAGUGACUUUUACAACACAUAUAUGCUUAAGGCACUGCCACCUACUCUGUGGCAUCUCACCAUGAAAGUCU